UAGGUACUUAAGUUUUAGGUAUUUUUUCAACUUCUUCAAUUCUAAUCCUAUUCUUCUUCUUUUCUCUCUCUGCAAGUAAUCCCACAAUAUCUUUGACUUCUUUCUAUUUUGUUAUCAAGUCUUUAUUUUCUUCUUUAUCUUUAAAAAGAAUUUUAAAUUUUUCUUGUAAUUUUCUAUCAACUAUUCAAAGAAACAAUUCAAUCUUAUUUGGCUCCAUAGUUAGUUUUUUCAUCUUUCAUAAUCAAAAAAAUUGCCUCUC
rnacentral:lncRNA from 1 species